CUCCAGCUGCCACUAGAGGGCACAGCCAGGACAUAUGACAGCUGUGUCUCCUCAUCAAGGCAAAAGUCAGAAGCAGCCUGAAGAGAGGCCUGACUGAAGAGCUAAGAGUCAUGAGUUCAAAUGUUGGAUCUGCCUUGUACUUGUGGUGAGACCAUAAAGCGACUGACUUCUCUAAGCCUGAUUCUUCACUUGCAAAAGGUCUGGAUUAAAAGAUAAAAAUCCAUCUCAAGCUUUCCAGAUAGCAAGAGGCCCAUUUGUCUGAGCUGCCUGGAGUCAUUUUAACAGCAGUGUCUCCAAUCACUAGUCUGAGCAGCCCUUCACACGCUUCUGCUACCAGAUGUAGACUUGCCUCAGACCUGAACUAUCUGGUGUGCUGUGCGUCCUCAGGGCCCCACUGCCUCUGAAAAGGAAUUUAACUGCAGAGAGUAAUAAAUACUUGCCAACAGCCUACCAUUGGAGAGCACAUCAGAGGUAACUUGGGCCCAGAUGCUACUAAUCAAUUCCAGCCAAGUUUUACACGAAUCUACUCAUGAUUUCAGAAAACCAAGCCAUCCAGAAACGCCUACAAAUACAUCAGAGUUGGCAAACCCAAGCAUGAGUCCAACCCCUGGACGCACAGCAGCCUCAGGUUCAAAGCCGAAGCACUAAGGGGCUCAUCCUGACAGAUGCGGGUUGAGCUCACAGCAUAUGGUUCACAUCACUGCCCCUCUGAUGAGAGCAUCCAGGUUUGGAUCACAUCUGUUUCAUUGGA